rnacentral:rRNA from 1 species
GACGAACGCUGGCGGCGUGCUUAACACAUGCAAGUCGAACGGAAAGGCCCUGCUUUUGUGGGGUGCUCGAGUGGCGAACGGGUGAGUAACACGUGAGUAACCUGCCCUUGACUUUGGGAUAACUUCAGGAAACUGGGGCUAAUACCGGAUAGGAGCUCCUGCUGCAUGGUGGGGGUUGGAAAGUUUCGGCGGUUGGGGAUGGACUCGCGGCUUAUCAGCUUGUUGGUGGGGUAGUGGCUUACCAAGGCUUUGACGGGUAGCCGGCCUGAGAGGGUGACCGGCCGCAUUGGGACUGAGAUACGGCCCAGACUCCUACGGGAGGCAGCAGUGGGGAAUAUUGCACAAGGGGCGGAAGCCUGAUGCAGCAACGCCGCGUGCGGGAGGACGGCCUUCGGGUUGUAAACCGCUUUCGCCUGUGACGAAGCGUGAGUGACGGUAAUGGGUAAAGAAGCACCGGCUAACUACGU